UACGGAGGGUGCGAGCGUUGUCCGGAAUCAUUGGGCGUAAAGGGCGCGUAGGUGGCUUCUUAAGCGUGCGGUGAAAGUCCGGGGCUCAACCUCGGAUCGGCCGUGGCGACUCGUGGGCUGGAGCACUGUAGAGGCGGGUGGAAUUCCGGGUGUAGCGGUGGAAUGCGUAGAGAUCCGGAAGAACACCAGUGGCGAAGGCGGCCCGCUGGGCAGUGGCUGACGCUGAGGCGCGACAGCGUGGGGAGCAAACAGG
rnacentral:rRNA from 1 species